UACAUCCCGUGCCCCCGCAAGACGCCUACUACAACACUGGAUAAAUUUCUAUUCAGAUGCAACUCAGGAUUACAGUUCAAGGCAGAUGGAGUAAGAGACUCACACCCAGAAAAAGAGGUGGUGAAAGUGACUGUUCAGACCUCCCGUUGCUGAGUUUCAGAAGAACGGAAUGUAGAAAACAAAGGAUAAAAUUUAAAAGGUAAAAGUUUACUGCUCGUUAAAUUCUCCUUUGGGAAAUGAAGUUUUGUUAACAACUGAACCUUCUAGAACACCCACUGAUUUUCAUGAAAUGCUACAAUGAAAAGAACUGCCAAGUGCUUCUCAAAGCCAUUUAUUAGUUAAUUAUCUUAGGGAAAUGCAUUUGUUUUCCUGAAACAGCAUCUCCUCCAGAAAUUUACAUUUUAAGGAAUUAUAAAAAGUUCCCAUUCAGAAUGAGAACAACUUUUAGAAUCAGAAUUUUCUACGAGUUCUGAUUAUUGAGCAGCCGCAGACAAUUGGAGUGAUGCUGUCACAGAAAUAACUUGAGAGUUUCGCUGGAGAUGGUAAAGAUGCUUAGAAAUUAAUUCUAAGGCUGGAGAACAGAGUCACAUUCUUCCAUCACUUCUGUCAGUGUAAGAUCUGGUGGGAAUAAUAACGCUAAUGGUUUUUUGCUCCAGGUCUGAUCACUAAAUUGUAAUAUCCUGAUGUGAACUGAUACAAAUGUCCAGGUUUCAAAGAGAUGAGUGCAUUUGAAAUGUAAUUAAAGGUUAAUUUGUUUUUACAUUAACAAGCACAAUAAAUAAACAGAUACAGUUAAAAAAUAAUUAAAUUCAAUAAUUAAUUAACUGCAUGGAAAAAUACUGCUGUGUUCUGAAAAUCUGAAAGGUCUUUGUAGGAAAAAAUGCAUUGUGGGAAAAUUUCACAUAACAAAUGCUGUCUUCGUAAACAAAACAUUGCUGAUAGGAUUACUCACCUCCAAGAAGAUGCCAACCGCUGUUCAUCUCUCAUUCUUUUGCUGAUCUAAAUUUAAUACUGAUGUCAAUCCAGAUCUUGUUGCAAGUGAUGACUGAUCCCAACUAUUUGGUCAUCACUUUAAUGCAGGGGACUUACACCUUGCAGAAAUGUGUUAUUUUGCAUCAGUACAUUUCUGUGAGGCGUAGGUCAAAUAUACCACUGGGACAAACAUCAGAACCAGGUAUUUUGUAUAUCGUUGUAUGUCUUACAGCCCACAGGACACUUCUGACCCCUGUAUCAUUAUCUUAUAAAACUUCUGCACUUGGAAAUCUGCUGAUUCUGGGAACCUUACUAAUGGCUCAUGAGGCAGAGUAAAAUGCUGCCUCAUUCUGCUGCUUAUACAGUUUUAACAAAGGAAGGUAAAGCUUUGCUUUGUUUCCAAAACAAGCAAAUUCAAACAAAGCUAUACAGAAAAGUAUGGUUAAUCUCUGAUGACAUUUGCACAAAUUUCAGUUGGGUUAGCACAUCACCAGUUACGUCAACACUUACAGUACAACCAUGUAAAAAAUAAACAUUUACAUAAUUACAUUUACAUAAUUAUCAAGAUGGUGAUUAUUCAUUAUUGAGCAUUGCACACAAUAUGAAUUGUAUAUAUAUUGUAAUACGUGUACACACACACAUUAUACAUUUUAUACAUUAAAUUGUGUUUACUGUUGUCAGUGGGAAUUGCAUGUCGGGAUAAUGUUUUGCUAUUGCUCUGCUCACUUUACCUCACUGUGCUUUGAGAUGACUUGUCAGUACAGGUCUCCCCUCUUCUAUGUAUAGGUUCCAAGUAGCUUCAAGUAGCUUUUGCCUCAGUGCUUGGCUCUAUAUUGUUUCCUCCUCCAAAAUUUUGCUAGUGUUAUUCUUUUUCAUAGGGACUUGGAGAAGAAAACAACAGUACAUUGAAAGUACUGUUUACUAAAAUGCUUUACCAAAACAGUCUUUUGUUUUGGCAGCGAUUCUGGUUUUAGCCAGGCUUCUGUGUCUAAGUGCAGAUCUUGCUUUGGUUUUGUACAUCAGAAAUAUGAAGUAGUUACAAAGUGCCUUCCACAAACUAAUUCUCUCUUCUCCUCCCACUUCCUUCUCCUCCUCCCCUCUUCCUUUCCCAAGUUCCGCUGGCAAGUCCUUUGAGUAACUACAUAGUAUAAUUUGUACUAAUUAGUAUUUCCAUCUUUACUUUGAAGGACCAGUGUGGUUCUUUAUGACAGAAGAAAAACAAUGUGGAAUAC
rnacentral:lncRNA from 7 species